UACAGAGGUCUCAAGCGUUGUUCGGAUUCAUUGGGCGUAAAGAGCUCGUAGGCGGCUUAGUAAGUCGGAUGUGAAAACUCCAGGCUCAACCUGGAGACGCCAUUCGAUACUGCUGUGGCUUGAGUCUGGUAGGGGAGCACGGAAUUCCUGGUGUAGCGGUGAAAUGCGCAGAUAUCAGGAGGAACACCGGUGGCGAAGGCGGUGCUCUGGGCCAGUACUGACGCUGAGGAGCGAAAGCGUGGGUAGCAAACAGG
rnacentral:rRNA from 1 species